rnacentral:rRNA from 2 species
GCGGGCUGGACCUCUCGGGGUUACAGCCUUGCUGAAUUAUUCACCCUUGUCUUUUGCGUACUUCUUGUUUCCUUGGUGGGUUCGCCCACCACUAGGACAAACAUAAACCUUUUGUAAUUGCAAUCAGCGUCAGUAACAAAUUAAUAAUUACAACUUUCAACAACGGAUCUCUUGGUUCUGGCAUCGAUGAAGAACGCAGCGAAAUGCGAUAAGUAGUGUGAAUUGCAGAAUUCAGUGAAUCAUCGAAUCUUUGAACGCACAUUGCGCCCUUUGGUAUUCCAAAGGGCAUGCCUGUUCGAGCGUCAUUUGUACCCUCAAGCUUUGCUUGGUGUUGGGCGUCUUGUCUCUAGCUUUGCUGGAGACUCGCCUUAAAGUAAUUGGCAGCCGGCCUACUGGUUUCGGAGCGCAGCACAAGUCGCACUCUCUAUCAGCAAAGGUCUAGCAUCCAUUAAGCCUUUUUUUCAACUUUUGACCUCGGAUCAGGUAGGGAUACCCGCUGAACUUAAGCAUAUCAA